AUGGAAGUCCAUCACACACACACCCAUGAAACUGAUGCUCAGUUCAGACUCAAUACGCUCUCUACAACUAUUCUGAUUUUCGGACUCCACAAUAAUCAAGAACAAAGCAGCUUCUGUGUCUGUCAAUGGUACACACACCAUAAUACCAAAACGUAUGUAGAUUCUCCCUUGUUUGAUAUUGUAUUUUCAUAA